AAAAAGUCUUUAACACUUUCUUUUUCUGAAGAAAGGGGGAUAAAAUUAACCUCGUUGAAUUCAUUUGAUGACACAAUAGUACGAGCACGAUCAAACCCAAAACUAUCUCUCUCUCUUCCUCUCUAAAUUUUUUCCCUUCUCUCUAAAAACUAAAAACUAUUUUUUCCGACUGUAUUUGGUGGCCGGCGGUGGCUGAUGAGCCACCAGUUAUCACCUUUUUUUGGUUACUUUUUGUUAUUUGACUAAUAGCGGUGUAUAUAUUUUUUGAUGUGUUCGAAUCUUUUGCUUCCAUCGCGGAUAUUAUUUUCCGGUUUCGGAUUCUAUUUUAGGUCUAGAGUUCUCUUUCUCUUCUAUUUUUAAAUUAAUUCGGGAGAUUAGAUUUACUGAUCAAGUCUAAGGGCUUUUCUACUUUGUUGGCCAUCUUCAGUUUCAAUUUGUGGAAAAGUCAAUCUUUGUUCUGUGAUAUCAUAAGCAAAGUAUCUAUUCGAAGAAUUGAAAGUUGAGUUUUCUCGUUUUCCUUCGGUGAUUGUGUUCAGAGUCGAUAGAUUUAGAACUUUCCAUAAAGGAAAGUGUUCCAAAAUAGGGUAUGUUACAACCAUCCAGAAGCAAGGAUGGUGUUAACAUCUAGGGAGUUAGUUCAAGUCCUCGUAGAUUCAUCAGUGGCCAAGAGGAGAAAGCGCGCAGGGUGGAUACACAUGUACAUAAAGAAUUCAAUCGACGAGGUUUCUGUUUUCAACAGAAGGAAGAAGUAGGCAGAGGCAUCGAUUCCAGCGAAGCUCGUGAUGGCAGAGAUUUUGGCGAGUCGGUGGAGACUCCCUAGCUUGAAUGACUGAUAUACCAUGUAUUUUACCCACUUUUAGCCAUGGUAUAUAGGUAUUUUCAAAUACAUUAUAGUUGUUUUGGAGUCUUUCUAGUAUGAUUUCAGGUUUUGGAGUGAUUUGGAGGAAAAUAGUGAUUUUGAUGCAUUUUGGAGAUAAAAUGAUAAAGACCCGAAGUUGACCAUCGACCACGACUAUCGAUCGAUGGGCGAACGCAACAAUCGAUCGACACACACUAUGUGGUAUCGAUCGAAGGCGAAGCGUGCAGAAACAGGAUUGAGUUCCAGCAGCCUACUUAAAGCCCAAGUCCCACAAAAAUUACCAGAUUACCCCUGGCGAGUUUUAACCUAAUAUUUAUGUGCUCUGCCAUUGUUCUAGGCAACACACGCUUUCAUACUUUCUACUUUUCAUACAGCAAAAUACUUAGAGUCUUAGAUUUGGAGAGAAGAUCCAAGAACUCCUUCAGAACUUUGUGAUUGGAACUCCAGUUCCUCUACUCUAUCUUAUUUAUGCAGUUUACUUAUGUUAUUGUCAUGAAUUGCUUAGCCAUGUCUAAGUAGUUUAUCUUGUUAGAUUUAGGGUUCAAAUAUUCAUGAGGAAUUAGCCCAAA
rnacentral:lncRNA from 1 species